AGACCCGAAACCCGGUGAUCUAGCCAUGGGCAGGUUGAAGGUUGGGUAACACUAACUGGAGGACCGAACCGACUAAUGUUGAAAAAUUAGCGGAUGACCUGUGGCUGGGGGUGAAAGGCCAAUCAAACCGGGAGAUAGCUGGUUCUCCCCGAAAGCUAUUUAGGUAGCGCCUCGUGAAUUCAUCUCCGGGGGUAGAGCACUGUUUCGGCUAGGGGGCCAUCCCGGCUUACCAACCCGAUGCAAACUGCGAAUACCGGAGAAUGUUAUCACGGGAGACACACGGCGGGUGCUAACGUCCGUCGUGAAGAGGGAAACAACCCAGACCGCCAGCUAAGGUCCCAAAGUCAUGGUUAAGUGGGAAACGAUGUGGGAAGGCCCAGACAGCCAGGAUGUUGGCUUAGAAGCAGCCAUCAUUUAAAGAAAGCGUAAUAGCUCACUGGUCGAGUCGGCCUGCGCGGAAGAUGUAACGGGGCUAAACCAUGCACCGAAGCUGCGGCAGCGAACGUAUCACCCAAGACAACUUUACGGAGUUGACGAUUGACGGAGCGAAGCGACGUCAAAGCGUUCAUUAAAGUCGAGUUGGCUUAGGGAUACGUUCGUUGGGUAGGGGAGCGUUCUGUAAGCCUGCGAAGGUGGCCUGUGAGGGUUGCUGGAGGUAUCAGAAGUGCGAAUGCUGACAUAAGUAACGAUAAAG
rnacentral:rRNA from 1 species